GGGCUGUGGCUCAGUGGCAGAGCAUCUGCUUGGCAGGCAGAAGGUCCCCAGUUCAAUCCCCAGCAGCAUCU
rnacentral:tRNA from 1 species